AAAUAUUCGGGGAUAGACAGCGAAUACUGAGACCUACACUUGUAAGCAAUGAAGAAGGUUUCUUGUUUCACCAUCCUGAUCGUUAUGGCAACAUUUGCCAUUUUUAUGCCCAGACGAGAAACGGGAGGCCCCAUUACUGCUAUAGAAUUCGGCUUUCCCGGGGCCAGCGCCGGAAAAAUUCUUCAAGGAAAUCUCAGUCGCAGACGUGGAACUAACAAGUCUGUAAGGACAAAGCGCAUCCGAAGAUUCUAAAGACAAAGGCAGCAAGGUGGUUAUUACGGAUGAAGAUGAUUGCGAUGGUGACCAGGAACUCUCCAGGAUUGUAUUUGCACUGUUGGACAAAGCCAUCUACUUCAAGGUUUAAUCCGUGACAGCUGCACAACCAACUCCAUUGUAGAAUAAAGUUUUACCAAGCAUUU